GAGCGGCGGACGGGUGAGUAACACGUGGACAAGUCUGCCCCCCGGCCCCGGGAUAGCCCAGGGAAACCUGGAUUAAUACCGGAUGAGACGGGACCCGCGAUGGCGGGACCCGGGAAAGGCGCUGCGGCGCCGCCGGGGGAUGAGUCUGCGUCCCAGUUAGCUAGACGGCGGGGUAACGGCCCACCGUGGCGACGAUGGGUAGCCGGCCUGAGAGGGUGGACGGCCACAUUGGAACUGAGACACGGUCCAGACUCCUACGGGAGGCAGCAGCUAAGAAUCUUCCGCAAUGGGCGAAAGCCUGACGGAGCGACGCCCGCGUGAACGAAGAAGGCCGUGAGGUUGUAAAGUUCUUUUCGGGAGGGGGAACAACCGUGGCAGGGAAUGGCCGCGGGAUGACGUGAAUCCCGGAAUAAGCCCCGGCUAACUACGUGCCAGCAGCAGC
rnacentral:rRNA from 1 species